AGCUCCAAUAGCGUAUAUUAAAUUUGUUGCGGUUAAAAAGCUCGUAGUUGGAUUUUUGAACUGUUUGAUUGGUCCGGCAAGUCCGCGCACUGAUUGGGCGGUUCUUUAGUCUGGAUGUCUGUUGGGUUUCUUGAUUGAGGCUCAGGGGGUGUCUGAGACGAUUACUUUGAACAAAUUAGAGUGUUUAAAGCAGGCGUUUUGCCGUGAAUACAUUAGCAUGGAAUAACGUAUAGGACUUUGGUUCUAUUUUGUUGGUUUUAAGGACCGAAGUAAUGAUUAAUAGGGACAGUUGGGGGCAUUAAUAUUUAAUUGUCAGAGGUGAAAUUCUUAGAUUUAUGAAAGAUUAACUUCUGCGAAAGCAUUUGCCAAGGAUGUUUUCAUUAAUCAAGAACGAAAGUAG
rnacentral:rRNA from 1 species